UACGGAGGGUGCAAGCGUUAUCCGGAUUUACUGGGUUUAAAGGGUGCGUAGGUGGGCGAGAAAGUCAGUGGUGAAAUCUCCGGGCUUAACCCGGAAACUGCCAUUGAUACUAUCUAUCUUGAAUACUGUUGAGGUAGGCGGAAUAAGUCAUGUAGCGGUGAAAUGCAUAGAUAUGACUUAGAACACCAAUUGCGAAGGCAGCUUACUAAACAGUUAUUGACGCUGAGGCACGAAAGCGUGGGGAUCAAACAGG
rnacentral:rRNA from 1 species